rnacentral:tRNA from 1 species
AGAGAAGUACCCAAGUGGCUCAAGGGGCGCCCCUGCUAAGGGUGUAGAUCGCUAACGCGGUGCGUGGGUUCGAAUCCCAUCUUCUCUGCCA